rnacentral:rRNA from 1 species
UGGGAACUCUAGGGAGACUGCCGGUGAUAAACCGGAGGAAGGUGGGGAUGACGUCAAGUCAUCAUGGCCCUUAUGGGCUGGGCUACACACGUGCUACAAUGGUCGGUACAGAGCGUCGCGAAGCCGCGAGGUGGAGCCAAUCGCACAAAACCGAUCGUAGUCCGGAUCGCAGUCUGCAACUCGACUGCGUGAAGUCGGAAUCGCUAGUAAUCGCGGAUCAGCAUGCCGCGGUGAAUACGUUCCCG